rnacentral:lncRNA from 10 species
CCUAAUCAGAGUUUAAAAAUCAGAAAUGAUGCUCUGAUGGCCUCUCAGGAUGCCUUAUUCUCCCCUGGAGAGCUCAGCACCUUGCAGCUGAAAAUUUCUGAGGAAACGUGGCAUAUAGCAGAGGCCGACCCCACUCUAGUGGCCAGUCUACUCCUUAUCCAGUCUGGCCACUUGGGCAUGGACUUCGCGGUCAUCCUAGGAUCUGCCACCCCUCAACCUUCUAUGGCAACUGCAGGUCAACCCCCAAAUUGGAAAACUAGUCUGGCUUGGCCUGGUUCACAGCCUUAAUGUGUGACUUUAGAUGGGGAUUCAGCAUUGCUCUGCAAGCCUCUUGGUGGUUUUAGUGGAUCUGUCCUUGCCCCACCAUAUCCCUUGGGCCUUAUCACUGGGGUGCUCCACUGACUUCCAGCUGCAGCAUCUCUGUCUCUACCCAAGGAUUGUUUUUGGUGUCCUGCACCAUCUGUGCACAGAAAGCUGGAAAUGACAGAGAAUUAAGGCCUUCAACCAAUGACUGAUUGGUAUAAAUACUGGGCUCCCUCACCCUGGACCAUGGGAUAACUCUGCACCACUCCAGGGUUCCUGAGUGGGAUUGACCUCCACUCACCCACAAUGGUAAAUUUGCCUGAUAACACACCCUUCAUUGACUGCCUUCCUUCUCUAUCACACUCCACUACCCAUGUUUCUUGCGAUCACCUCCAGAAUGCACUGUCUGCACUGGAACCCUUGUCUCCAGGUCUGCUUCUGGGGGAGGAAGACUUCAUAUUAGCAGGACAUAGUGCCAGACAGUAUUUUUAAGUCUUAAAUGUAGGUGCUCACUUAAUCCUCACAGCAAGCUUAUGACACAGGUUCUGUUGUUACUCCCACUUUACAGAUGAGGGAACUGAGGCACACAAAGGUUAAGUGAGCUGCCCCAGGUUCAUACAGGUACUAAGCAGCAGAGCCGGGAUUCAAACCCAGGCAGCAUGGCUCCUGGGUCCACACUCAUAGCCACCAAGUGGUAGUGCCUCUUCCUCACGUCUUCUCUUUAGUGACUGCUGGGAGCUCCUUGCGCAUCCCUGAAGUCUACCCCAGCCCCUUGCAUUUCCAAGCCCUCUCUCCCCUAGGCUCUUUCCUCUUGGCACCCCCUCUCCCAUAACACCUUCUUUUCCAUCCUUCUCAAAUCCCUCAUCUUCCAGACUCCUACAAGACCUGUCCACGCCAUUUCCCACCUUCUAGCUACUUGUGCACUUGUCUCAAGCUCCCCAGAGGAAGGAUCCAGGAGUUUUUUUUUUAAACAAUGAGCUAUCCAAGUAAGGUCAAGCCAAUGCCCUCCCCCAUCCUAUUUCCACCCCAAGUAAAUAGCAUCUUUCAGGUCAGCAACAGAAUUGGCUUUGGUUUCUCAUCCAUUUCUUUUUUAAUAAAAAUAUUUACAUUGGGUCAGACCCCACCCAUUUCCACACAAAGGCCUCUGCUAAGUUCCUCGGUACACACACCAUCCCCCAUCCUAGCAGGCACUGCCUACUAACUUUGAAGUGAUUGCCCAACUAUGAUCUUGAGGAAUCUCCACAUACAUCACCCUUAGAGCCUCAGAAAGGGUUUUGCCCUGCCCCAUGGGGCUCCUCCCCAUGCCCAGGCUCUUCCAGGGCCCUGGGCCUCAGAGGCCACCCUGCAGGCCCAGACACUGGGUUAGACACUGAACCUCCUGUCCUUGUCCAUCCAUUGCACAAACAAUUCCUGAGAAUGGAACGAGGAACUAAGGGGUGGGGUAGGGCCUCCCAAGAAACAGAAGGCCUGUCCCUGACCUCCUGUAGGCGCCAUAUCUCUUUCAGACAAAAACUCAACCUCUAAAGACUCACAGGCCUGGGGUGUACCAGGGUGUCCAUCUGCCCACACCGCAGCUCUUACCUCAGCCCUCUGAGGUCUCCACUGUCCUUGGGCUGGUGGGGGGCAUGGUGCAUGUUAUCACCCACUUCUUGCUACCCAUCAGGGGAGCUGCCCUGGGUAACCCAGGUAAGAGGGUGGUAAACACAACUCAGGUGCUCAGGGGUCAGCUGAGGAUGGGCCAGGGGGAGGGGUGGCCUAUGGCUGAAUUGCCCUGGCUCCGGUCCUCACCACCCCAACCCCAGCUCUGGGCUUAGCAUUGGUGGCAGUGGGGGCCUCACUAGCCUCCUCUGCCCUUUCAUUGAAAAUUCCUCUCUAAUGUUUUCCUUUAUCCUGGGGAGUGGGGAGAUAUUCAUCCCCUUCCCAGUUCUGGGUACCAGUACCCUCUUGACAAAAGGAUAGCCUGGGGCUCACAUGGGAGAAUCCUCCUGCCCUCACUCCUCCAGUGCUGCCAAGGGGUGAAGAGGGAACUUGCCCAGUAGAAAGACAUACGUUCAUGCCUUGCUUUCCUGCCCAACACAAAUGAAAGGUUAUACCUGAGAAGAGCUCCUCCUGCCCCGUCUCUGGCCCCAGCCCCAGUGUGGUAUGAGGAAUUCAGGCUUUGACUUAAGACAGCCUGGAACCUCAGGUUUGGCUUGGCAAAUUCAUUAGCUAUUUCGUAGCCUUACUCACCCUGUUUUGUCACCUGUCAUCCACAGAACCAACAGCAAAAUACACUCCCCUUAAGGUUACCUUUGAGAAUUAGGACCAUCAAAAGGAGAAGAUCGGCUACCCUACAGGCACAUGAUAGGAUGGAAUUCCUCAGCCCUCCUGAAGUUAGGCCACUGCAAGAGGCCUAACUGGCUUGCUUUGGCCAGUGAAAUAAGAGCAGAAGUCACAUGUGUUGUUACUGUCAGGCACAAGUAUUUAACUGCCAAUGUAACACAAGACACUCCAGCACCCUCUUUUGAUGGAGCCUCCUUUGAUCUGGAUGCCUGAGUGACUAUGAUGAUCAGAGACUCUAACACUCCUACUGACCCAACAGAGAGCAAUAGUGAGAAAUAAAACUGUUGUGUUAAGCUACUGAGAUUCCAGGGUUGUUUGUUACUGCAGCAUGAUGUAGCCAUCCUGACUGAUACAAGCUGAGAUAGGAGUCCAUAUAAAGUUCACAGGGACACAAACAGGGGAAUAUUAGGUCUCUCUAGAAGAUCAGAAAGGUUUCAUCAAUGAACUUGAGAUAGCCUUAAAAGAUGAGUGUUUACCUGACAAGGAAGAGAUGCAAGCAUCCAGGUGAGCAAUGAAACCCCAGAGCGCAUUAAAGGAACUGCAAGUUCAGGACCUUUCAGGGCUGGGGAGGGAAGGAAGGCCACAAUGACACUAGACCAGGGAGGAAGGAGAGAAUGCCUUAUGGAAGAAACAGCAUUUACAGCUUGUAAGGCGAUUUGCUAUAUGGAAUUUUAGAUAAGGAAGUGAUAUGAUUUGAUUUGCAUUUCAGAAAUAUUAUUCUGGAAUCAGUAUGUAGGGGCUGGAAGACCAGUUAAGAGACAUUUAGAGUCCUGGCAAGACAACAGGGGCUAAAAGCAAGCACAGAAAUGAGGAAGGGAAAGCCAGCACCAACGUUGAGGCAUAGACCACGGGGCCCCUGAGCCCUCCUCUGACUCUCAGAACACCUGGGUGUCUUAUCACAUUGCAC